rnacentral:tRNA from 1 species
GCCUGGCUGGCUCACUUGGUAAAGUAUGAGACUCUUGAUCUCAGGGUUGUGAGUGUGAGCCCCAUGUUGGGUG